GAACGGUCGGCAGGCGAUCAGCGUCGGUCAAGCGAGGUGGUAUGGCUCCCCAGAGGCCGGUUCUUGUGCUGCCUACCCCUUGAGGGGAAGCGGGCCACUCGAUGUAAGGCUCCAUCCGGCGCCCUCCAACGGGCGCAGGAGGACAACGGAGCACCCCCCGCGUUCCACCGGGCCUCAGCCGGUCGCGUGGCGCGCGGGGACGUGCGAUGCUCUCGGACCCAGCGAACGCCGUGGGCGAGGACUCACGUCCCAGUCCCUAUAGAAGCUCCGACAAAAUGCAAGACGGCCGCCCCCGACCCCCGACCGCCCCGGCGGCGCGGGGGCGAGGCGCGGCGUCGCGGAGGAAUGCUACCU
rnacentral:misc_RNA from 1 species